rnacentral:piRNA from 1 species
UCACAUGAUUAAAGAAAAGACUUGGAGUU